UCAACAAAAGGAUUUAGUUGGUAUUCAGCAUAAAAAAGGUUGUUUUCAAAUUCAAUUCUAGCCAGUUCCUCUCGAUCAAUUGAUAUGUCUUUUCUUUUUUUCUUUCCCUUAAUUACCUAAGUGCAAACAAUUCAACAUCGUCAAAUUGGUGUUUUUGUCAGUCAAGAUGAUGUUAAUUGGUAUUCAGCGGUAAAAAUGAUUGCUUUCAAAUUGAAGUCUAACCGGUGAAUCACUAACGACAAAUACGGGGAAAAUUUUUGCUUUCCAUUAAAUUCCUGAGUGAAAACCUACCCACUAUUUUCAAAUUGGUUAAAUUGUCAGUCAGUUAGAGAAAACUGACACAUUGAUAAAUUAAGUACUUUUUUUCGGCUCGAUUCGUGAAAACUCGAAUUACAAAACCAAUUCGUCAAACCCGACCAAGUUGAAGAAAAACUGCGAGCCUACAAUCUAUGAAAAAGUCAGAGCCAAUUAACAUGGCGCUUACGGAGUUUUCCAAAGUUGCUUUGCAAUUUAUGUACACAUAUCAAGAAGCAGAGAAAACCAAGCGCCAGUAUCCAAGUAUUCAAGCUACCGACGCCGACCUCGUCACUCGUCGGAACCCUGGAUUCACCCUGGCUUCUAUCAUGGGCAAAAUCGAUCAGGAACAGCUACAAAUGCUGGUGAUAGAGGCACGAAGUGUUUCCAGUAACGAAGAGUAUUCAAGGGAAAGCAACCGAGGCUCGGCUUCCGAGGUCUCCAACGAUGUUUCUCAAGAUGCUUCAUCAAGACCGGCAACACAUUUCACUAUCAGUGUUAAGAUUGACUCCAAAUAGAAAAGGUGUUUCAAAUGUCAAAAGCGGAGUCAAAAUGCUAUUUGCCCUCGACUGUGUAUAGUUGCCUGCGUCAUUUCACCGUGCUAGCCUUAUGCAAGCUAGAAACACCAAGCUGCAAAUCUCUAGCUCAUUGUCAUUCUCGUUUUAGAUGACUAUUUGAACCCUUAAACUUUGUUUUAACAUUAGUAUUUCAAAUCAUGUAAUUUGUUUUAGUUCAAUAAUCGUCGUGCUUUAGCUACCUAUAGUCGUGCUUUAACUAUCUAUGCAUAAGUUUAACAGUAUUAACAAUUUGCAUAAAUGUGACAGAACUUUUUAAAUUAGAGUUAUUUUAGAGCAAUACAAAGUAUCCUGGCUUUAAGAGUCUUAAGUGUAUGAAUAGUUUUUACGGUAGUAUUUUACGUAGUUAUUCUAGUGCUAUGAAAACAUGUCAUGCUUUAAGUAGUUCAGUUGUAUUAG